UACAGAGGUCUCAAGCGUUGUUCGGAUUCAUUGGGCGUAAAGGGUGCGUAGGCGGCGCGGUAAGUCGGGUGUGAAAUCUCGGGGCUUAACUCCGAAACUGCAUUCGAUACUGCCGUGCUUGAGGACUGGAGAGGAGACUGGAAUUUACGGUGUAGCGGUGAAAUGCGUAGAUAUCGUAAGGAAGACCAGUGGCGAAGGCGGGU
rnacentral:rRNA from 1 species